rnacentral:rRNA from 1 species
CGAUUACAGGCGAUGAAGGACGUGAUAGCCUGCGAUAAGCUUCGGGGAGCUGGCAAAUUAGCUUUGAUCCGGAGAUUUCCGAAUGGGGAAACCCACCCUUAGGGGUAUCGCACGAUGAAUUCAUAGUCGUGCGAAGCAAACCGGGUGAACUGAAACAUCUCAGUAGCUCGAGGAACAGACAUCAACCGAGAUUCCGAAAGUAGUGGCGAGCGAAAUCGGAACAGCCUGCACGCUUUAGCCGUCGAACUAUCAGAACAGUCUGGAAAGGCUGGCCACAGCGGGUGAUAGCCCCGUAUGGAAAAGAUCGGCGGUAGAACUAGGCGUGCGACAAGUAGGGCGGGACACGUGUAAUCCUGUCUGAACAUGGGGGGACCAUCCUCCAAGGCUAAAUACUCGUAAUCGACCGAUAGUGAACUAGUACCGUGAGGGAAAGGCGAAAAGAACCCGGAGGGGAGUGAAAUAGAUCCUGAAACCGCAUGCAUACAAACAGUCGGAGCCCGGAAACGGGUGACGGCGUACCUUUU